rnacentral:lncRNA from 1 species
UACUGUGAAAGUACUUUAAUUCGUGGGUAUCAAUUUUCGUGGAUUGAGCAAUAUUUACAUGUUCGUGGGUUUUUAAAUUCGUGGAUUUUAUUUUUCUAAAAAAAAAAUGAAAAAUUAAAGCCUUUAGAAACGAAGGUUACAAAUAGUCUGGAUUGAAGGAAAUUGCAAAGUAAACAUUGACCCGUGUAAAUCGUAGUGAUAACUUAUUAACCCAUGAUAAAGUGAUCAACAGAUUAAAAACCAUCAAAGGUGUUAAUUAGGCCAUAAACAUGUCACCUAUUGAAAAUAGUAACAUAAACAAAUGCUAUUAACGUAUCUUGAAUUGUCAAAUAAUUCUUAUCAAAAUCAAGCCCAGCAUGAAAUUAUUAUUUUCCAUAUGUACGAGAACUAUGAGGAUAUAAAAUGAACACUUUAUCAUACUAGCAUAUCAAUACCGGAAAUCUGACUUUCAUCGAUCAAAAAUAUUUUUAUGAGAAUUAAAGGAUCAAAAGUUGUACAGUUUAGGUUAUUAAAGAUGAAAUGGGUAUAAUCCUGCAUGCGGUUGUAGUUCUGUGACUGCUAUUAAAGUAUUCUCAGAUUUGGCGUUAUUCAAUAUAUUCACUAGAUCAUAUCAGUGGUCAAACCUACCGAUGGGGAUCUUUCCAUGUCUUGAUUUGGACAAUGGUUGUUUUAUUUCGUUGGACACUUAAAUUCGUGGAUAAAGUCAUCCACGAAAACCACGAAAAUUGGUACCCACGAAUAAAAG